GAGGACGACGGGCCGUGGGUGGGGGUAAGUCGUAGGGGUGAGGUGUUAAUCCGACGUAGUGGGGGUAACGCGGGCGCAGGCGGUUAUGUACGACAGAGGUGGAAUCCCCGGGCUCAACCUGGGAACUGCCGUUGGGACUGCAUAGCGAGAGUACGGCAGAGGGGGAUGGAAUUCCGCGUGUAGCAGUGAAAGGCGUAGAUAUGCGGAGGAACACCGAUGGCGAAGGCAAUCCCCUGGGCCUGUACUGACGCUCAUGCACGAAAGCGUGGGGAGCAAACAGGAUUAGAUACCCUUGUAGUC
rnacentral:rRNA from 1 species